rnacentral:rRNA from 1 species
GGCGCACGGGUGAGUAACGCGUGGGAAUCUACCUUAAAGUGGGGAAUAACUAUUGGAAACGAUAGCUAAUACCGCAUAAUCCCUUAGGGGCAAAGGCUUCGGCCGCUUUUAGAUGAGCCCGCGUUAGAUUAGGCUGUUGGUGAGGUAAUGGCUCACCAAACCUGUAAUCUAUAGCUGGUCUGAGAGGACGAUCAGCCACACUGGGACUGAGACACGGCCCAGACUCCUACGGGAGGCAGCAGUGGGGAAUAUUGGACAAUGGGGGAAACCCUGAUCCAGCAAUGCCGCGUGAGUGAUGAAGGCCCUAGGGUUGUAAAACUCUUUCAGAAGUGAAGAUGAUGACGGUAACUUCAGAAGAAGCUCCGGCUAACUCCGUGCCAGCAGCCGCGGUAAUACGGAGGGAGUUAGCGUUGUUCGGAAUUACUGGGCGUAAAGAGCGUGUAGGCUGUUAGGUAAGUCAGAGGUGAAAUCCCUAAGCUCAACUUAGGAACUGCCUUUGAUACUAUCUUACUAGAGAUCGAGAGAAGUUAGCGGAAUUCCAAGUGUAGAGGUGAAAUUCGUAGAUAUUUGGAAGAACACCAGUGGCGAAAGCGGCUAACUGGCUCGUAUCUGACGCUGAGACGCGAAAGCGUGGGUAGCAAACAGGAUUAGAUACCCUGGUAGUCCACGCCGUAAACGAUGUGUGCUAGCCGUUUGUGAUUUAUCGCAAGUGGUGCAGCUAACGCGUUAAGCACAC